AUACGGAGGGUGCGAGCGUUGUUCGGAAUUACUGGGCUUAAAGGGUGCGUAGGCGGUCGGAUAAGUUAGCGAUAAAAUAACACGGCUUAACCGUGUAUCUGUUGCUAAUACUGUCUGGCUAGGUUUUACACGACGUAAACGGAAUUUCGGGUGUAGCGGUGAAAUGCGUAGAUAUUCGGAGGAACGCCGAAAGCGAAGGCAGUUUACGAGUGUAAGAUUGACGCUGAUGCACGAAGGCGUGGGGAGCAAACAGGAUUAGAAACCCUAGUAGUCC
rnacentral:rRNA from 1 species